rnacentral:rRNA from 1 species
UACGUAGGUGGCAAGCGUUGUCCGGAUUUACUGGGCGUAAAGAGCGUGUAGGCGGCCCGGUAAGUCCGCUGUAAAAGUCAAAGGCUCAACCUUUGAAUGUCAGUGGAUACUGCCGGGCUAGAGUCCGGAAGAGGCGAGUGGAAUCCUGGUGUAGCGGUGGAAUGCGCAGAUAUCAGGAGAACACCAACGGCGAAGGCAGCUCGCUAGGGACGGUACUGACGCUGAGGACGAAGACGUGGGGAGCAAACAGG